rnacentral:rRNA from 1 species
GAGUUUGAUCCUGGCUCAGAGCGAACGCUGGCGGCAGGCCUAACACAUGCAAGUCGAGCGGCCGUAGCAAUACGGCAGCGGCAGACGGGAGAGUAACACGUGGGAACGCGCCCUUCGGUUCGGAAUAACUCAGGGAAACUUGAGCUAAUACCGGAUACGCCCUUACGGGAAAGAUUUAUUGCCGAAGGAACGGCCCGCGUCCGAUUAGCUAGUUGGUGAGGUAAUGGCUCACCAAGGCGACGAUCGGUAGCUGGUCUGAGAGGAUGACCAGCCUCACUGGGACUGAGACACGGCCCAGACUCCUACGGGAGGCAGCAGUGGGGAAUAUUGGACAAUGGGCGCAAGCCUGAUCCAGCCAUGCCGCGUGGAUGAUGAAGGCCUUAGGGUUGUAAAGUCCUUUUAACGGGAAGAUAAUGACGGUACCCGUAGAAUAAGCCCGGCUAACUUCGUGCCAGCAGCCGCAGUAAU